AGUCGUUCGACAGUUGCGCGGCAGCCGCCCGGCACGCCGGGAGUGGUAGUCUUGUGGCACUGGGCUUCCGGUCAGCCAUGUUACUGCCGCGCGGCAUGCCGGGAGCGGUAGUCUUCCGGCACUGCUCCCGUAGCACGCCGGGAGCGGUAGUUCUUUCCCUACUAAGCUUCCGGGCGGCCAUGUCGUUCAGGUGUUCAUUGCUGCCUUCGCGUUCCGACAACGCAGCACACCACCGGAAGCGGCGAAGCGAACGCGCACUCCGUUCCGCCCUGCUAACUGCUGCCCUACUGUGUCGGUAAGGCGGUAUUGCAACCGAAAUGGCAAGCGCCAGCGCACUCCGCUCCACCCCCCUCGAAGGUCGAAGAAACAGUACUGCCCCUGAAGCGGAACAGCUCCUACGCCCUGUCUGCUGCCGUGCUCAUUACCGUCCGCGCGUUUCGACGACGCAGCACUGCACCCGAAACGGGGCCCCGCAUGCGCACUGCCCCCCCCCCGCGCCGCUCACUGCUGCCCUCGCACUGCAGAGGCAGUGUCGGAACUGCCGCGGGUCCGGUCACGGGGGGCGCCGGAGGGUAUUGGAGAACGGCGCGGGACGGGCCCUCUAAAGUGCAGGGAACGACGACGGGCCGUCGUGAAGAACUGCAGGCUGCCGCCCUCCGACCUCGGCAGGUGACGCGCCGAGAGCAGCCGGGAGAAUCCGAAUGCCGGUCUUGGAGAGUUCUCUGCCUGUUGCUGACGAGGAGCCUUUGACAGUAGGAAGCACACCUGCUUCUAGUCUCAGUUGAAGGACGGGUCGCCUAGCUCAGCGUCUAACAAACCCCACAACCGGUGGCCCGGUCGCUAUGGCGCUGCUGUUGCUAGCAGAGCCACCAGGUCUGUG